rnacentral:rRNA from 1 species
AACGAACGCUGGCGGCAGGCCUAACACAUGCAAGUCGAACGAACCUUCGGGUGAGUGGCGCACGGGUGCGUAACGCGUGGGAAUCUACACUUUGGUGCGGAAUAACACAGAGAAAUUUGUGCUAAUACCGCAUAAUGGCUCCGGCCCAAAGAUUUAUCGCCAAAGGAUGAGCCCGCGUUAGAUUAGGUAGUUGGUGAGGUAAAAGCUCACCAAGCCGACGAUCUAUAGCUGGUCUUAGAGGACGAUCAGCCACACUGGUACUGAGACACGGACCAGACUCCUACGGGAGGCAGCAGUGAGGAAUAUUGGACAAUGGGGGCAACCCUGAUCCAGCCAUGCCGCGUGAAUGAAGAAGGCCUUAGGGUUGUAAAGUUCUUUCAGUUGCGAAGAUAAUGACGGUAACAACAGAAGAAGCUCCGGCUAAAAUUCGUGCCAGCAGCCGCGGUAAU